rnacentral:lncRNA from 1 species
UUAGAUUUGAAUGUUAGAUACAUGGUCCAACCGAGCCCUGCAAUAAAGCUCGGUUGCAAAUGAAUAAAUGAACAACCGAAGAACACUUGAACAAUUGCAAUAAGCCAAAAUUAAACUUUAUUUCUUUGAUAUUAAUGCCAACACUGACCUAAAAAUGAAAAGGUUCUCAUUUUUAUAUAGUAAAGGAGUUUUAACCCUAAUACAAGUUUAAAUAAGGUAAAAAUCCUUUUCUUCCUCUCAUUUUGUGAAAACACGAUCUUGAGCCAAUACCGAGCGUGAUCCGUGCUGUAAUAUCCCGCCGGUGGCAGAUAUUUCAGCUCUUCGUUUGUCUUCUUUAACCGUUUCUUCUUUUACCCUCAGUUCUUUGUAUUGCUUGAGCUCGGGUGCGGCCGUGUUCGAUUCCUGACGUGUCAUUCAUCCACUCCAGUCCCGAUCUAUAGGUAACUUCGGUCUUAUUCAAGCUUGCAACAAAUAACGUACAAAUAGAAUACCUUAAAUGCGUAGUACAAAUACCCUAAAGCACUAAGUGAGUCAUUUUGAAAGAAACAAAGAAAUCCACCUAUGAGAAAUUUUACAGAAGAGCUUACAAACAAAUACAUCCUUUCUUAUUUGGUCAAUCUCCAUAAAUAGUUUCCUCCCAACUGGUCCUCAAAUUCCUAACGCCCUUUCUUGGAAAAUACUUUUAUUAACAAAAAAAUGGUGGAGAGUAAAAGAUUUUAGCUUUAAAUUAGUAAUAAAAGUGGCAAGUAGUGUGGGGACUGA